AAGUUUCAGCUUACAGCCUGAAUUAGGCUAACGGCUGGUGAUUUUUUAUCACCAGCCU
rnacentral:sRNA from 1 species